rnacentral:lncRNA from 1 species
AAAAAUAGAGAUAACAUAUUGUGCCCUUCAACAUUUAUUAAUUUUAACCCACAUUCAUUAAUAAUUAUACUAGUAUUGUAUUUAUAUCUCUUCCUAGAUAAUGAAAGAAAACAAGUUAAACUAAACAACAAAAAGCUUUAAACAAUUUCAGUAAUGAAAGAAAAACAACCAUUAACAUACUUAAAUCAAUAUAACAAACAUUAGUUUAAAAAGAGAAAUUAACUGGAGCAAACAAUCCGAAAAAUUAUGAUAAUGAAAAAAUAAGAAUAACAGUGGUCAAAAAUAAGAAAAAUCAACCAAUAUUCACAAACAAUAACUAAAAAAGACAUAACAAACAAUAAAAAUGGAGUUACCCGUCUUGGAGUUUGACGAUUUCUGAUCAGAUCUUAUACGAUCCCAUCGUGAGAGAGAUGGGUGAGCAGCCAUUGUGGUGUCGCUUCUGUUUCUGGGUUGUUGGUUCAGGGAUUUGAUGUUGUUUGGAUGCCGGAGCUGCUGGUCUGGUGGUGCUCUGUUCUACGCCGGAGAUGUCAAGAGUGAUGAAUAGAGGUCGGAGAUCAUUCGAACGACAAUAGGUUACCUGCGAGACAAGAAAAAAUUGUAAAUGGGAUGGGGGCUGGCAGCGAUGGGAAGUUGUCUGGUUUAGCUCGCUGGUCGAAGCUAUGAGUUUGUUGGAGAAAAACUCCAUUUCCAGCCAAAUUGGUGGUCUAUUAAUUAGGGUUUUAGGUGUCGGCGGCUAAGAG